UAGUUACCGUUAUCAACAUUUUUUAAAGUACCUGACCUGAUAUAGGAUUACAUUUUAUCAUUACGUUUUUGCGAUUCAUUAUUCUCAGGACUUUUCUAUCAUUCUUCAACUUGAUACAUAGAAGUUGGUAUUUAUGUAAAAUAACAGACAAGUACUGGGA